AAUAUAAGCGGAGUUCAGAAAUUGCAGAUUUUGAGCAUGAUUCAUUGGCAAGGCAUCGACCGUACUGCAGGAUGAAGAUCUUGACCACAUGGUCAGGAAUUCUUUUAUAGAAUUUCUACUUUCUCAUGCCAAACUUGCAUUGCACCAAACGAUAUGGGACCUAAACUAAAGGGUGUAAAUUGGGAAAUGACUAUUGACUUGGGCGCCAGCCCGCACCCCGCACCCCGCACCGGCAGAGUGACUGGCAGCCACCGUCUUCAUUUAAUGCCAAGCAAGUUGCCAACAAUCCAAUGUCAAUUAUCAACGGACAACAGCAGUUCAUCUGUUCAUGCCUCUUUUCCACGUUCCACCCCUAUUAUCUUCGCCGAGGCCCUCAAUCAAACACUUUAACUGCGUCUUCGUCUUUUGACUCUUUUCUAGGGUUAGCUUUUCGUCCGAGGUUAGGGUUUCUCAUUUUCGGCACCAGCAGCCGUCUGGCAUGGCGAUGGCGAACGACGCCGUUCUCCGGUCUUCUCUGCUUUUCUUGGGCGCGGUGGUGCUAUUAGUCGGAGCCUUCACUUACUCAUUCAAGAAGAUGAUAGUCACUUACUUCUCCGGUCUCUUCGCCAUCGCCGGUCUGCUUCUCCCCGACUGGGAGUUCUUCGACCGCGAUUUCUCUCAGUGGUUUUACCCAAUGACCACCGAACAAGGAGACGCCAAUUCUUCUCAGAGAUCCAAAUCGACCGGGUUUAGAAUCUACCCGUUGAGGAUAAUUUUGUACACAACAGUCUAUGGCUUUGGUCUUUACAAAUGGUGGAUGUUUGUGUCCAACUAGUGAACUACCUGCUACCUCUCUCACUCAACACAAGAUGCCAUUCGAUAUAUAUGACAUUAACGAGAGGAAAUACCAUAUUGCCACCAAGGCCCAAGUUCUGUCAUUCUGUGUACUUCUGGGAUGGUCAACAGACUCAACACUCAACAGAUCAUUUGAUUGUUCUGAACUUUUGAUUAGGGUUUUAGUCUUUUAGAAGUAACCAGGCAACUAUUUACUAUUACAAGUUGAUUGAUAUAAAGUACAAGGUGAUUUGGUUGCAAA